CGCGGCUCAUGCCGGCGCCGCGCAGCGCCGAGCCCCUGGGCGGGGGCGGGGGCUCCGGCCGCGGCUGCCGGCAGUAGGGGUGGGGGGGAGAACCGGCGCUGCCGGGGCUGGGCGGGCAGUGUCCCUGACGUGCUCGGGGGCUGGUGCUGCCGAGAGGUUUCCCCCUCGCGCCAUCUCGCCCCGGCAGGGCUCGCUGCGGUGCUAUACGGGUGUGGGGGACUCGGCCUCUGAGCUGAGCCCAGCGGUAGCUCCGGUGGAGGAGCGCGGGUUCGCGAGUCUCCGGCCCGAGGGGAAAAAGCGAAAGGAGCUGCUGAAAGUGGGGUUUUGGGUAAGGGGGAUUUGCCCCGUUAGUUUGGCCACAAGCUCCACCUGAAUGGGUUCACGUUAGGACACUACCUGGUGGCAGUGAUCACUCAAGCUCCAGUGAGAAAAUUAUUCAUCUCAUAGCCUUAAAACCAAGGCACAGGUGCCUGGGCAAGUGCUCGUCCAGGAGCAGGAGGUGCUUCACUCUGCCCAGAACUUAAGUUUCACCUUUAAACAAGCUGUUGCUAAUGGCCUUGAGCCAUUAGUUUUUAGACCAGCCCUACAGCAGGGGGCUAGAGGGUGGUCUCCUGUACCAGCACUUAGGCUUCAGUAAGAUCACAGAAAACAUACUUAAUGGGAUCUUAGUUGGCAUUAUAAUACUUCCUAGCAUGCGUAUAUUUGUUUUCUCUGGGUUACUGUUGAUGUUCUUUCUUUUCUCCAGGUGGAACAACAAACUUGCAAACAGAGAAGAAAAGUGUCUCUGAAAAUGGGCUUAAAGUGACCGAAUACCCUUCAAAUAGCAAACUCCUCAUGGCAAUGGCAACAAAAGCAGCACGGUGUUUCCUCUGUCCUGGGACCUUCCACCAUGCUUGUCUGAAUGCUCCCACCUCAAACUGGCUGCCCCAGCAUUUUACGGAAGCUAUCCUCAUUCUGACUGCAGGCUGCAAAUCCCCACUAUGCUCUCAGUUUUUCAUCUUUGGUUACAUCUGCACUUCUUGCUCCCAGCUGCAACAGAGAUCAGAAGUGAUAGAACACUACAAAAGAAAGGCCAUCCUGGUAGCAUUUCCAGCUUGACUGCAUACAACAAAUACCAAGAAUCUUGGAAGAGAACGUAUUUGCAGAUGCCCAGCCCUGUGUUCAGAUGGAUAUCUGAACACUUAGGUGCUUAACCACCAGAACUCCUGAUAGUAGCAGUAAGCAAUCUUCUGAGUUUUCUAAAUCGAUAGUAUUGUUUUAUAUCAUUAAAGCUGUGAAAAUUUAAUGCCAACAGUAGUUGCGUCACUUUGGUAGGUACCUGCCUUGUGGAUACAUUCAGGCAGUGAGAAGUGAAGCAUUUGUACAGUUGUACUUUAUGGUUUACAGUUCUACAGAUGCAAAGCAAGAAGCCAGUCAGAAACCAAAGGGGCAAUAUAGCCUGCUGUCAUAGUUUUGUCCUUUCAAGAAACUGUGUAAUAAAUUGGUUGCCCAGAGAGCUGGUGGAUGCCCCAUCUCUGGAGACACUCAAAUUCAGUCUGGAGGGGCUCUGAGCAUCCUGAUCUAUCUGUAGCUGUCCCUAUUCAUUGCAGGGGAGUUGGACCAGAUGGCCUUUAAGGGUCCUUUGCAACUCAAUCAAAUCUAUGAUUUUAAAUGUAAGUGGCAGUAUAUAUAUUUUUCCUGUGAAUGUCAAAUAAUUUCAAAUAAAAUAAUUUGUGCUAGAUUGCUUGCUGUUUCUUCCUGCUUUCUGGUCAGUUUAAGGAUCUGCAGUUGUGGAUAAAAGAAAUGAAUCGUGUAGAAAAUGUUUCUGGCAUUAAUGCGUCUAACUGUAAGUUAAUACAUCUGAUUCUUACUGAACUUGUACUUUGAAAUUGUACUAGGUUGAGUGAUUACUUAUCUUUAACUCAUCUGAGGUUUUUGCUGUGAUUGACUGACUUUCCUUUUCUCUCUUUUGUCAUAAUGGAACCAGAUAAGCACUGCUCACAGAAAGCCUGGGAGGUUUAGGGACACGGUUUAAUGAUAUGGUGAUGAUGGUUUGAUGGUUGGACUAGUUGAUCUUAGAAGUCUUUUCCAACCUAAAUGAUUCUAUGAUUCUAUAGUCUAUACUAUGAAGUUUUCAGCCUCAAAAAUCAACUGUAGCAUAAGAAUUUCCAGAGAUAAAAUCUUCAGAUUUUUUAAGUUCUGGACUUUUCUGACUUGAGUUGUGCAGUGAUGGUUUACACAACUUGAAGAUGUGACCUCAAUAUAACACUUCUCAUUACAUUUGAGGAAAACCAUCAGAAAUAAAACAUAACAUACUCCCACACAGACAUGCACCCAACCCUUUGUGACAGUUUUUAAAGUAGGUCUUGAGCAAACUCAUCUCAUCUAAAACUUCUCUUUUGCCUUCUCGACUCCAACCACAUUGGAAGGGAAUAUUUGCAUAGAGAUAGAUCUGAAACUCCAAAUCACAGAAGCACAAGUGAUGACAACAGAAAUAUAAAUGUACUGGCUUGGCCCUCAUCCAUACCAAGCAGCAGUGCCAGGGACAGGAAAGUGGAGUUGGAUCUGGAAACCUAACAAGGCAGUAUGUAUCACAGGUAGACAUGAGAACUGGAAAAGACUUGCAGAAAGGAAUAUUGUGGCUGGAGAAAAGAGAAGGGAGUAAGAUGACAGAUUAAUAGCUGGUGUUGCAUAAUUGGUGUGUCUUAAAAAGUUUUACUUGUUUGCUUAUUCACUCCAAAGUUAUGUACCAAGAGCAGCAGCAGCAGAGUUGCAGGCCAGAUGGUAGAGGAAGUGCCUCAUGUAUCUUUCCAGCCCGCUGAAGCCUGCAGGGCCUUCGUUAACCCAGUGCUCUGGUUUUCAUUGCAAGUCCCUUUCUUCCCUUUUUUUUCUUUUCCUUUCUUCAAAGAAAAAGAAGGGAGGGGAAAAGAGGAAGAAAAAAAAGAAGAAACGAAAAGCCAUGGUUUAAACUGGCAAUAGCACCAUCCUUUUGGCUUUGAGCUAUCCCACCCUGUGCCAAAUACAGUCUCCAACAGCUCUCCCACAACAAAUCAGGCCAGAUACACAAAAGCUGUAGAAAAAGAAUGGUGAAGAAAGAUCCUUGAUUCUCUCUCUAGCCCCCCAGCCUUUUCCUUUUGCUUCUCUCCCCAAGCUUCAUUCCCCAGCAGCGACCUCCUCCUGCCUGCCAGUACUGUAAGUGAUGCUGGGAGCUCCAGUGUACAGCUUUGUUGACAGCUGCCUUAGAGUGCAGGCAUCUGUGCCUUUAUGUAUUGAGGGAGCAAUGUAAAGGAAAAGUUACAUUCCAUUAUUCCUGGAACUUCUGAGAGCCAAUGUUUCAAAAAAAAAAAAAAAAAAAAAAAAAAGGCACAAAUUGUUAGCAUAGCAAAUUCAUCACAAGUAGAAAUUGUCUAUUCCAUCAGCUAACCCAUACCACUGCACUGUGUCACAACUUACAGAUAGGCUUUUCCAAGUAGAUACAUGAAAAAAAUAGUGAUGUUAUCCAUUUAUACAGUACAUUAUUUAAAAAUACGGAAAAAAGACCACUACAUUUUUCAAAACUGAUUAGCAAACAUUAAGUGGUCCAAAUAUUAGGCACCAGUUUCAAAGACCUUAAGAUAUUGAUUUUUAGAAAGUACAAAAAAUGUGUUUUUAGAUGGCACUCAUUAGCAGAAUCAUCUUAAAUUAAUAAUCACUUAUGAAAACUACGCCUUUGCUUCUUUCCUUGGGGUUGUAGAUUCAUACACAGACAAUAGGACAGGCAUUUGCCUAGGGUCAGAACCGAGUGGUGAUAACAUCAAUGGCAUAAACUUUUAGAAGGCUGGAUGCUGCUGUUGCACAUCAAGAAGAAAAUGUGCUGCACAUUUGUAGGGCAGCAUAGAAGGAGCACUGGAGAACACCAGAAUGUGAACAACUAAUGUUUAGGAAGGACAAGGGAACAAACUGCUGGAGAGACAUGCAGAAUAUGACAGAAGAAACAUAAGCAGGUAGAGAUGUGCAGAGCUUACAACCUCUUGCUUUAAAGAUGACCUCCCGUACCUCCACUGCUUUAACAAUCUUAGUAUAAUUUUCUUACUCAUUUGUCUUAUUUCAGAUGUCUACUUUAAUUUUUUUCUUAUUAAUAAGAACAGUGACUCUUAGCUACCACUGUUAUUACCACUGCCUCGUUAAAUAUGAAUAAUUUUGUAUUUCUUUGGGGACAAUUACUAUGUCUUUGCUCUAGACUGUACAUACUAAAUUCUUUAAGCUAUACAUCAGAAUUUUUCCCCCAAACCUGACAUUAUUUUUAAUUUAAUAUUUUUAUUACCAAUUCUUAAUUUAUUUUUAUCAUUCUUUUAAUGUGUACUCAAGGUACAUACUAGGAGAUUUUUUUUUUUACCUGCUACCAUCCUGUGGUACCAUACUGGUGUUAAGGGUAGAGAGAGGAAUUUCUAAGGGAAAGGUAGGAUGCACUAUUUGUUAUUACCUGAGCUGCAUGCAGCAUCACUCUGUGAGAAUUUCACCUAAUGGGAAAUGUUAAAGACAGACAAUAGGUUUACAGUAAUGCUCUAGUUAUUGUGGAUACGUGAAAAAACUCCUUUGGAAAACGUUCUGGAAAUGGAAAUAUAUGGAUUGCUUGAUUUCUGUAGGGCAGGGAGUCAGUUCUUUUUUCAUUCUUAGCACAUAUGAGAUAACACAUUUUUAUGAUUAACAAUUUGUACUACUAACUAAGCAAAAAUGUUUGUGGUAAAGGAAUAAACAGAAGUCCAUAACUAAUUGGAAACAGUGAGGUUGUGUAAUUUUUCCAUUGCCUGCUUUGGAGAAUUAAAAGUUCAGUUUCAAAUCUCCCACAUUCUGUGGGGCUUUAUGGGAAAUGACAGACAUAAAAGAUAAUAAAGACAUCUCACCUUAAUAAAUAAUGAUAACAAAACAAUAAAAAUAAGAUGCUGAUUUCUCAUUUUUUGCUGAAGGAGGGAAGUUGCCACCACUAUGAUGUCUAACUUUACUGAAUGACGCUAUCUGACACUCCUUUAUUUUAUGUCCUCCCUGAAUUCUUGCAUUUAAGCCUGAGUCAAGGUCAAGCCAAGAGAUUUAAGAAAAACUCUUUGCCGUCCUCAAGGAAAGCUCUUGCGCAGUGAUCACUGCAAGUGUUUUGUGUUGGAUGUUUAAUAAUCAGUGAUGGUAUUGGAGUGGGAGGUUAAGAAUGCUACAGCUAAUUGAAAAUGUAGGCAGAGAAUAAUAACGUAUUACAUAGGAUAAUGGAAAGGCUAGUUGUCUUUCUAAUAACCUUGUGACAGUAACAACUGCACCAUCCGUCAGCAUUCCUUUUUUGUGAAUAGGUAAAAAAGACUCAGUAGAGAAAGAAAACAAUCAGAUGAGAUAUGUAUAUCUCUUACAUACAUCACUGGUAUUACGUAAUUGAAUGUUCUCAAUGAAUUCAAAAGGAUUACUGCAUCUUUAAAGCUGAGGAUGUGCGUACAUGUUUUCUCAACUGGGACAUAAGUACUGAAAAAUUAUGGCAACAAUUUGAAAGAAUGCUUUUAGCACAUCUUUUCCUUUCAGCUUUUCUGUGCUUGCAUCUUGCAUGACAGCGGUGUGUGCAGUUUGCUGAAGGGAUGGACAAGAGACACAGGCAAGUCGUGGGAAAGGUCUAACCGAUGCACAAAUGUACUACUGAAUAAACAAGCUCCCUCUGAUCUAAAUCCUCACAACUGCAAAAUCAGGCCAUAUUUACUAGUAACCAAGCUCUCAGAGCUUCUUACAAAUGCAUUUGUGUAAUAUAGCUCCAGUGGAAUUAGCAACAAUGGACUUCUGGUGUCACCCUGUUCUGGCACUUUAUGACUGUGCUGUCAAACCACAUUGAUAGUCACAAAAACAUAUGUUGGUUCUUUUCCUGCAUUAGAGAUUCCAGUCCAAAUAUAAUCUUGAUGCUGCAGAAAGAAAAGUCUCUGAGUAGGUAAUCUAGGAGAAAAUUCUAUCUAUAACUGGUUAAAGGCAUCCAGUGGGUUGCAGAUGGAAGAGACAUUUUCUGGAAAAACCGGCUUAUUGGGCAUGCUGCUCUCAGUAAUGUAGUUCCAGCUGUGGUGCACCUUCCAAGAUAUCCUGACCAUAUGUAAACCCACGUGUUUCCUAAGAUAUCUGUUAGGAUUUUUUAUUUUUUACUUUAACUAGCUGUUCAGUACUUCCAAGCCCUAUUUUUCUAAGGCCUGCAAUAUCAUACAUGAAGUCAAUCACAAGGCAUACCAGUUACUACAUCUCCCAGUUUUAAGACAUUUUGGUUGUUCUGUGUGGCUUUUCCUCUACUGACGGAGAGCCCAUAGCAACAACAACAACAACAAACUUUUCAGUCACCUCUGGGAGAAGAGAGGGCUAAACAUUAGAGUAAUUACUCCCACACACAUUUUCAGCCACUUGCUGUUGUGCUCUGAAGAUGCUUAAUUCAGAAACCAAGAUCAGAUUCUUAGAAUGAUAGGCACCGUCUUGUCUCUAUAAGUACAGACUUGGCAAAAUGUCACCUUUUUUGAAGCUUGCAAGGUACUGACCGUACUCAGGGCAAUUACUAAAAGAGAUUGCAGUGUGCCUCUUUUAGCUAAGGAAAGUGCUCAAGGGAGCCAGGGACAACUCUGCUCUCCAGUUCUGUACUCGCUUUCCGUGUAGCUCUAUUCAGAAACCUCAGCAUUUUGAAAAGUGGGGAUGUUACAGAGUCUUUGUUCCUAUGUCCUAAGGUUAGAGCAAAAAAAGUCUAAAUGAUGAUGUAGUUCAUCUUCUUGCUAAUGUUGGCUUUUUCUUAAUGGAAUACUCGACAUAGAUCAAAUAAGUAAAAUGAUUUCUGUUAUUUUUAUCAGGAUCUUCUUAUGCACUUCAAUGAAACCCAUUACAUAGAUUUGCUGUUAUUUUAAAGUAUAAUAACAAUGUUCAAGUAAUACCAGAUGAAACUGGUUUCAACCGCCAUUAACUUUGGCUUUUCAGAAAGGGAAAGAAAUCCUCUGGUAUUUCCAGCCUCCGUUGGAACGUUGGCACAGGAAAGAAUUUAGUGGGGCUAGCAUGCAAGGAAGUGAUGUAACUUUUACCAGAUUGUGUGACUAUGUGGAAAAAAAAUCAAACAUCAGUUGGCCUAUUACUCUAUUAAACCACCAAUUUCCUAUGCCAGCAAAUUGGAAAAUGAACUGCAUCUCCUUUGCUGACUUUUGCCAUCUGCAUCAGCUGCUUUCUUAAAAGCUAAUUCUCAGGAUUCCAACUAUGCCAUCACAUGUGCUUGUAUAACUCCAAGAGGAAAUACUUAUUUAAGUCUCGUUUUUGCAUGAACAUAUACUUCCUUUUCUAGUUACAGAGCAAACAGAAGUGCAUGCUCAUCUAGGGCUGCCUGCUGAUUCCUUAACAUUUUCUUUUUACAAAGUUCCGUAGAGCAGAAUACAAUUGCUAGCAUAAUAAAAACAGUGUUAGCAGUAGCAAUCUGGAAAGCAGAAUUUGUUUUAUGAAAAUGCCAGACUUUGGUUUUAUUUUUAAGAAAUUAGAAGUUAAAACCAAAUGUCCAUCAAGCAGAAUUUUAAAUAUUGCAAUAAAUUACUUCGGAGAAGGUUUGUUUGUUUUUUUUUCUUUUGACAUAGCAAGUAUUCUGUUGAGAUAACUUUAAAACAUUGCAUUAGAUCCUAUAAUCUGAUAUUUGAGUAACAUUUAACCUGGUAUUUGAAUAACAUUUGAAUAAACAUUUUAGAAUAUUAAGGACUAAAUAAAUUAACAAAACAAUACCGAAGUAAAAUUACCAGAAAAGGUCAGAAUGUGGUGCUGGUUGUUGUCUUAACAAAAUGAGAAGCAACUUUCCCUCACUGAAAGAAAUGUUAAUAAAAAUACAUUUUUCAUACGUAAAAAAAAUGAACACUGUCUUUUGUGUUGCUAAAUUAUUCCACUGAAAAGUUUUCAGCUAAUUUUAGCAAUCUAUUAAACAUUUCUAUCUGAAAGUAUAUGGAAGUAAGGGUGAGCAAUGGACAAUGUGAAGGCAGAGAUGAGCAUGUAUUUGGAUACAGAGAUCGGUGGUGUGUAGGAAUGUUGUACAUAGCACAGAAGAGACAGGAAGAUCUGAUAACAUCUCUGUAGUGCUCUGAAAUACUUUUGAAGUAACAGUAGCAAAAAAAACCCAGAACCAAACAGCCUUAACAGCUCUAUAUUUAAUGUCUUUUCCUGCAGAUUCGUGACCAAUGGAUUGGGAUGUACCACAGUACAAGGAACUGGCAGAUGUUUCUCUGUUGACCCAAAUGUAAAUUAUGGAGACAGAAAUGGUCCAGGAUGAAAUGUAAGAGAACCAUAUAGUUUCAGCAAUUUGUAGGUAUCUACUACAGUUAUUCUUAUUCCAUGAAAAAGACAAUGAAAGGAGCAGCAAUUUAUUAAGUAGGUGAUAGUAGGUCCAAAUAAGAUUAAAAAUGCUAACUUAUUAAAUCAUGUAUUUAAGGCUUAAAGGCAAGUAUAAGGUUUGUUUUUUUUUCCAGAUAUACAACAGUUUCAGGUUAUUUUUAUAAUUUCCCUGCAACUUAAAGCCAAAUUUAACUAUCCUAAUUACUUUUUUUUUCCUUUACUACUAAAAGACAAUAUACCGUGGUAUGUAUGUGAGUGUGCAAAUCAGUUUGGAUCAGAUCAGUUUGACAAUAGAUGGCUGUGUGGCCACAGCCUUGUUUUACUAGACGUUUUAAAAACAUGUCCUUAUUCUUAUUCAAUGCUUAGUGUAAGAAACAGGAAACUUUUCCAACACCAAACUUAGAUACCCAGCUUGGCCAAUGACUUAAAUUGAAAAUGAGAUGGUCACCAAAGACACAGUGCAAAAUACCCAAAGUAUUCUUCCUCUCUGAAUCACUGUAUCUCAGAGCCUAUAUCUUCCCUUUGGCCCUAGUAGGACCCAUAGGAAAACAGCUGGAUAGUCAAACCAGACAAGUUUUGUGCUGGUAUUUGGGUAGGCUGCUUGCACCCUAAAUUACAAUGAUGCAUAUUGAAGUAGCAUCUGGGGCAAAGUAAAUGCACUAAAUUAUAACACUUGCUCUUCAACAACUUUGUCACAUCUUUGGCAGAAAUUCAAAUAACAGAACUUUUCUUCUUUUUUUUUUUUUUCUUUGAGGUUCAAAGUGUUUCAUUGCUCUUUAAAUAAAUAAAUAUUGGUGUCAGCUGAGCUUCUCAACUUCUGCGGAAGUGGAAGGAUGAGAACAGUCCUGAAAGUGCUACCCUUCAGUAGUUUCCAGGGAAGACAAUCUCAUGAGAAAAUCCUGAUGUUAGGUUUUAUGUCUAUACUUCAAAAUCCUAAAAUAAACUGCCAUAACUGUUCAGAAUUUUAAAUAUUUAUUUGAAUAAAAUGGACUCACCAAAGCUUAAA